UGCAGAAUCCCGUGAACCAUCGAGUCUUUGAACGCAAGUUGCGCCCGAAGCCAUUAGGCCGAGGGCACGCCUGCCUGGGUGUUGCACAUCGUUGCCCCCGUGCCUUGGCCACGUGCCAGGCACCAAGCGGGGCGAAUGUUGGCUUCCCGCGAGCAAUGUCUCACGGUUGGUUGAAAACUGAGUCCGCGGUGGAGGGCGCCGUGAUGGAUGGUGGCUGAGUUAAAGCUCGAGACCGAUCGUGCGUGUCACCCCCACCAGCUUUGCGACUCUUUGACCCAUGGGGGUCUGUUGGCCUUCUAAUACGGGAACCUCAGGUCAGG
rnacentral:misc_RNA from 1 species